GGGAAGGUAGCUCAGUGGUAGAGCACUUGCCUUGCAUGCAUGAGGCCCUGGGUUCGACGCCUGAGGCCCUA
rnacentral:tRNA from 1 species